GGUCGGGUCCUGUGCAACGUCCGCAUUGCGAAUCAGGUCAGGGGCGGAAGCCAGCAGCCUUCAGCAGUCGCUGAUGAGUGCCGCAGGUCGCCUGACCGUC
rnacentral:SRP_RNA from 1 species